AUGCCCAGCUUGCUGGGCGGAUUAGUGGCGAACGGGUGAGUAACACGUGAGUAACCUGCCCUUGACUUCGGGAUAACUCCGGGAAACCGGGGCUAAUACCGGAUAUGAGCCGUCCUCGCAUGGGGGUGGUUGGAAAGUUUUUCGGUCAGGGAUGGGCUCGCGGCCUAUCAGCUUGUUGGUGGGGUGAUGGCCUACCAAGGCGACGACGGGUAGCCGGCCUGAGAGGGCGACCGGCCACACUGGGACUGAGACACGGCCCAGACUCCUACGGGAGGCAGCAGUGGGGAAUAUUGCACAAUGGGCGAAAGCCUGAUGCAGCGACGCCGCGUGAGGGAUGAAGGCCUUCGGGUUGUAAACCUCUUUCAGCAGGGAAGAAGCGCAAGUGACGGUACCUGCAGAAGAAGCGCCGGCUAACUACGUGCCAGCAGCCGCGGUAAUACGUAGGGCGCAAGCGUUGUCCGGAAUUAUUGGGCGUAAAGAGCUCGUAGGCGGUUUGUCGCGUCUGGUGUGAAAACUCGAGGCUCAACCUCGAGCUUGCAUCGGGUACGGGCAGACUAGAGUGCGGUAGGGGAGACUGGAAUUCCUGGUGUAGCGGUGGAAUGCGCAGAUAUCAGGAGGAACACCGAUGGCGAANGCAGGUCUCUGGGCCGCAACUGACGCUGAGGAGCGAAAGCAUGGGGAGCGAACAGGAUUAGAUACCCUGGUA
rnacentral:rRNA from 1 species